UUUCUAAAAAGAUGGAUAUGGUCUCUUCUGUCAUGGGUCUUAACAUUCUGUGGGAGGAGACAAGCAGUAACUACAUACAAUGAGCACAACAAUUGAAGUGAUUAUGAGAAUUAAAGGGGUGGGCUAUUGGCAACUUCAGACACCAUGGUCAUCAAUGGCCUUUGAUUCGUAACACGAGCUGAGAUUCCUGUCUUCACAGAUCCCUGAGGAGAUGUCUACUAAAGGGAAUCUUCUGGCCACUGUUACCUUCUUCUGUACUUACCCUGCCUCAUGGAAAUGGAGUACUCCAGAGCAAUGUUCUCCACUUCUCCCACGGCAUCAUGACACCCCUAAAUCUCUCUUCUAA
rnacentral:lncRNA from 1 species